rnacentral:misc_RNA from 1 species
GAGAGCAUGAAAGAGAUAGAAGUAGAUGUAGACGACACUACUAGUGUCCUUGAUUUUGUUGCAGGAGUGAACCAAUUGGCUAUACCUCAGUCAGAGGUGCAAAUUAAUUAUGUUCCGGUUCCGGAAGCAUCAACUAGGACUGAUGACUCAAGGAACAGCAGAGAUGCUGGUGCAGAGAGAGGCAAUGGUGCUAGGCAGCAUCAUAACUGGCCCCAA